UAUUCUGCCCUACGGGGAAGGAUGAGAAGCUUCGACUAAGGUUCGACUCGAGCGCCAGCGAGAAAACGUUGCCGCAGGCAACGGCCCGAAGGGCGAGGCGCUUUA
rnacentral:sRNA from 1 species